AACGAACGCUGGCGGCAGGCCUAACACAUGCAAGUCGAGCGAGGAGUUCGGUUCUAGCGGCGGACGGGUGAGUAACGCGUGGGAAUGUGCCCUUCUCUACGGAAUAGCCCUGGGAAACUGGGAGUAAUACCGUAUACGCCCUAUUGGGGAAAGAUUUAUCGGAGAAGGAUCAGCCCGCGUUGGAUUAGGUAGUUGGUGGGGUAAUGGCCUACCAAGCCGACGAUCCAUAGCUGGUUUGAGAGGAUGAUCAGCCACACUGGGACUGAGACACGGCCCAGACUCCUACGGGAGGCAGCAGUGGGGAAUCUUAGACAAUGGGGGCAACCCUGAUCUAGCCAUGCCGCGUGAGUGAUGAAGGCCUUAGGGUUGUAAAGCUCUUUCAGCUGGGAAGAUAAUGACGGUACCAGCAGAAGAAGCCCCGGCUAACUCCGUG
rnacentral:rRNA from 1 species